GCUCAAAACUGUUGGUAUGGGAUUCCUGAAAGAGGGUUAGUUGAUUCACUAACUUGGGAACUCUAUUUCAGAUUGACAAAGUCAGACUUCCGGGAGCCAGUGAAUAUUGGAAGUGAUGAAAUGGUUAGUAUGAAUGAGAUGGCUGAAAUUGUCCUAAGCUUUGAGAAUAAGAACCUACCCAUCCAUCACAUUCCUGGCCCAGAGGGCGUACGUGGUCGAAACUCACACAAUAAUCUGAUCAAGGAGAAGCUUGUUGGUUUCCCAUGUAAUUUCCAACAAUUUUCUCGACUAUGGUUAGAUCACUGACAAUGAUCACACCAUAUGCAAUUAUUCUGUCAACCUCCACGCUGGUAAGGAGUCAAACACUACUCAUCAGAAUUUGGCCACUGCUCUCCAUAAUUUGGAGGUUGUUCUCCAGAGGCUGAACUACUACAUUUUGUGACAAGCGCAGAGUUUUGCAGUAAGGAUUCAGCUGAUGGAUCCUUAGAGGUUUUGAGCAUUACUCACUUUCUACUUUCUUCCCAUCUAACUUCAGAAAAGGCAUCUUGAAUCCCUGGCAAGGGUUUUGUUCCCAAAACGCAUCCACGGGCCUCAUCUAGGUUGUUAAGACCAUGGAGAAAAGCAAACAACCUUUCUUUCUCCAGUUUCUUGGUAUAUUUUACGCAAUAAUCAGGGCAAGCCCCAGUGUUAUCAUCAAACAAAUCCAACUCCUGCCACAAACCAAUCAAGGUAUUGUAAUAAUCUAUCACCGUGAAAUCACCUUGCUUCUUCUCCUUGAGUUUGGAUUGUAGUUCAAAGAGAUGAGAAACAUUGCCAAGAUCUGAGUACAUAACCUUGGCAGUGUCCCAAAUCUCUUUCGCUAUCUUGUAAGAGAGAUAAUUCCACCCUAUUUUAGGCUCCAUCAAGUUUACCAGCCAAGCCAUCACCAUGGAAUUCUUGGAUUCCCAUGUGAGUUAGCCAUGUUUAGUUGCUGCUGGUUUUUGAGUCUCCCCUGUUAAGUAGCCUAGUCAUCCCUUGCCACGAAUGACGAGAAGGACAGAUUGGGACCAUUCCUAAUAAUUGCUCCCAUUUAAUUUAUGUUGGGUAACCUGCAGGGUGUGAGAUUCAGCAAUAUUGUUGGCAAGAAGAGAGUUGGAUGGUUGGGUAAUUGUCUCGAAGGAUACUCUAGAGGUUCCAUCACGAGCAUGGCCAGUCAUUUGUUUUAACCAUGGACAAUAACCAUUUUUUUAGGAAAUCAAGGAGUGCUCUGAUACCAUAUUGAGUUGAAAAAGAUAAUUUUUUAUUCAACCUGAUUUUCCACUGCAUCAAACUCUGAUUUAUAGAGUUACAACACAUGUAAAACAGAAGCCAGAGAUAACCUCUUGGCUGACCUGAAAUCUAGGAACAAAAAAAUAAAUUCAAAAAUAAACAACCUGAUCAGAUAAGAUAACUGCCUAACAAACAAAUCUGAUCUGAUGUUUUAUUAAAUAACACAAAUUUAAACUAACUAGAAAAAACGUAACCUUUCAAUAGUAGGCUACCAAGAUAAUAUGACAUAACUAAAAACAAAAAUGUGCUACUUAACAUGGUAACAAAAGAUUGUAUUUAUUCUCAAAUAUCCUGAAUCUAUUCAGAUUCCAAACCUUUUCCUGAAAAGAAAAGGCUGCAAAUUUAUGGAUGACAUCUCAUUAAUUCCCAAGUUAUUCCUGGAUAAUACUAAGAAAUCUCAAAUAAUUUGUUGUGCAGCAAGUUCAAAUGAGUUCAGUGUUAUAUUAUUACUAAAUCUUGGAUUUGUGGGGAAAAUUUUGUGGCAAAUUUUAAUUUUUGCCUCAUACUUAUUUCUUAGCAGAAUUUUGGAUUUAAUUAUACGAUGAAGGAUUAAUAAUUGAUUAGAUUAUGGUUUUUGGAUAGAGUAAGUUGAUUUUAUUAAAUUUGAAAAUUUGAAUAAAUUGAAUGUUGUUGGAUUAGAGAUUUGGAUAUUUGGUUGGAGGUCUAUUGUUCAUAAUUGGUGCUUUUGUGGAUUGAAUGAUUGAUUGGAUUAAGGUUCUAGGAUAAAGGAAGUGGAUUCAGACAGUAUUUUUUGGUCUUGGAUAUGUUGAGUGAAUUUUUGGUUUUUCUUGACCUUUGUUAAUGGUGUUAAGGAACAAAGUCUUGAUAAGGGAGGCUGAGUAAUAUUUGAAAAUUUAUUUUAUAUUUGUGUUUCUAAAUCAACCAAGACCAUUAUUUUUUAGUAUUUUUUUAAUGCAUUAAUGUUGUGAAUCCAAAUUAGCCAAACAACAAGAAAAAACUGCAAUCUGAAAUGUAAAUCACAGGCAACACACAAGUUGCUAGAACAAAAAAAGACAAUUAAUGGAAUGAAAAUAUCAGUCUCAUUCCCAAAGCCCUGUUCCAUGAAGCAAACAUGGCUUUUAAGGUUUUUAAAAUGAAACCUUUAAGCCAUUAAAGGCAGAGCAUUUUUCUCAAGGACAAGAACUAGCCAUUAAAGCCAACUUUAUUUAUUGUUAAUUAUAUUUUUGAGAGUAUUGGCGUUUAAUAAAUCAAAUUCUUUAGUUGUAACUACAUUGUUUUUUCCCAUCUGGUGCAUGCCACUGCCACAACAGGAGGUCCACUACCAGUUCCCACAUUACAAUCAACAAAAUUAAUUAUAUGUUCAAACUUGUUUUUGAUUUUUAAUAGAAUCAAAACAACAGAAAAUACAUCUCAGUUGAUUCCAAGUUUAACUAGGGAUCCAAGAACAUAAGAAAGUAGCUCAGAACAGCAUUUUCUAAGAAAUUUGACCACUGCCAUGAUUACAUUUAUUAAGGAGUUCAAGGAUUCAAUAUUUUUUCUCAUAUAUUUUCCUCUAGCUUCUCGGCAUCCAGACAGAUUACCUAAAUCAACCUCUAUCAACAGUCAUAAUACUAAAUAAAUUGGCACAGCCCAAUUCCAAAUGGGUUUCAGAAUUAGACCAAUUGCAUCUAAACAAAACCAUGUUGAUUCAUCAUCAAAUCUUCUAGCUAAUCACAAACACAAGCAAAUACAACAACAGUAAUAACAAUUACGGGUCCGUUUGGAUGCUGAGAAAGUAGAAAAUAAAAAUUAAAGAAAAAACGUGAACUCACACAAAAACCCAAAUACCCGAUACCCACAUUCUUUGUAAUCUCAAACAAAAUCAGUAGCCUAGAAAUCUUUUCUCAAAAAUGAACUCAAACAAAAAAACACCCAAACAACUCCUCUAACAGAGCCUAGAAACUCAAUAUUCUAAGACGUCAAUUUCUUUUCUUUCCUUACCUUUUUCCCACCACCCAAGCAAAGCACAAAACCACUCUCGGCCAAAGAAAAGCCUUGCAAUUGCCCACCGUUUGGUUCCUGAGAAAACGAAAAGCAAAACAAAAGAAAAACCCUGGUGAGUUGACUUUUUUUAUUUCCGUUUCUGGGUUUCCUUAUACUCAAAAAUUGAAAGUGAAACCCCAAGUUUAUUUUUUUUUUCCCAAAUUUUCUCAGCAACCAAACAGACCCAAACCCAAAACACUUAGGGCAAAGCAUGAAAUAAGCAGAAUGUAACAAAUAAAGAUUUGUACUGCUUCUGAUCUCAAGGUGGAAACGCCAUAAAUAUAAAUAUGGGGGCUUUGAAAUGAAAUAUUUUGGGGGAUUGGGAUAGAUUUGGAAGGCUUUGUGAGGACUUUACCUUGGACUAGUGGGGCUUUUGUGCAGAUCCAGCCUCUGGAAGGUUCUUCACCUCAGGCGACGGCCUCCGAGACUAAUCCGGAUUUUCUGUUUGGGUUGGAUAAAGGGCUCGCUCCGCCUCCCCCCGUGAAAUUGCAGGAUCCAACGCCUCCACCCACGGUUCCAGAUGUGCUUCCCAAGGAUUAUUCAGUGAGAUCGGAUCCAGGAUCGGAGGAUCGCCAUGUUGUUGGAGAUCCAGUGGUGUCCCCCGCGGACUUCCAGAGGCAGAUCCAAAUGGAACAAUCGUCUGGUGACAAUGGCUGGUUCAAUGGUCAAAUUGAGGGUAAAUUAGUCUAAUAAAAAUAUAAGGCCUUUAGAAGAAUUAUCAAAUUUACCCACCAUUUUUAGUAAUUUUUUUCCCCAGCCUACCCUUAAGGGUAAUUCUCCCAAAAAUCAAACCCCUCCAUCACAAGGGAAGGGUCUACACAUAUCUAUUUAGUACAAUAAAAUAAAAUUUUCCUAUAUUAUGGUAGAAGAUGGUAGAGUACCAUCUAAAGAGAAAAGAAUUGAUCAUAAAAAUCAAAUAAAAUAAUAUAAAAACACUCCAAAUAAAAUUAGGAAAAACUUUAUAUAAGAGAGGAAAAUUAAGUUAAUAAAUUCGAAGUAGUAAAUAAAAGAAAAAUUAUUCAUUUUAAAUAUAAUUAUUUUUUUUCUUUCUACCAUUUCUCUCUAAUUUUUUUUCCCUUAUAUUUUCCUCCAAAUUUAUAGAAGCCAAAGCCAAGAAGGCCUAUGCAAGCUGAGAAAUGAUGUAAAAAGGGGAGAUGGAUCUAAUCGGACAAUAAAUGAAGUUGUGGACCCUGCAUUUUGCUCGAUGUUUUCCCACUCGAUGGCGAAAACUCGUUUUUUUUAUUUUGUUUGGUGAAAAUUUGAUUUUUAGAAAAAGACUUGGAGUCGCCACUUAUUUUUGUUUUAUUUUUAAAGGGAAAAACAAAAUAAGAAAGAAAAACCCUAAGUAUGACUCCUGAAGGAAAAAAACGGGUCUGUGAAAAACUGAGUCUAGGUCCGGGGGUUAGGUUACUCAUUGGGAAGGUACGGUGGUAAGUCGUAACACUCCUCUAAGCCCUUAUACGUACGACCUUUACUAAACGAAUUGAGGAAAUUGUGGCAAUUAAUUAUAGAUACCAAAAAAAAAAAAUCAAUAUACAAGUUAUGGUGAAAAUUAAUAUGCACAAAAACAAUGAUGAAAUCUAAUUACAAAAAUACACAAAAUAAAUAAUAAGAGAAUUAUGCAAAAUGAUUUAUUGAAUUAAAUAAAUAAAAUAUAUUAAAAAAUGUUUUAAAGAAAUUUCAAAGGAUUUUAUUAAAAAUGAUUUUGAAUUAAUGAUUUCCAUUUAUUUACUUAUAAAGAAGUAUCAAUUUAUUUUCUCAAUUUUAGUUGUAUUCAAUUUUCAAAAAAACUAUUUACACUUACUGCAUCAAAAGAAUUUAUUACAAAAUUUUAAUUUGGGCACAAAAAUUAAUUUUACUUGCUUUUACUAGAAAAUAAUGAAUUUUUACAAUUUUAUUUACAAAAGUAUUUAGAUUCAUUUUCAUUUAAAAGAGUGAUUUUUAUAAAUUAUUUAAAAUGACAUAACUUUAUUUGCAAAAUAAUUUUAAUUAAAAAGAAAAAUAAAUAUUUAAAUUCUCUAUUUUUGAAAAACACUUUUAAUCCCAUUUUAAUUAAGGAAAAAGAAUUCAUUUGAAAAAAUAUUUUUAGACAAUUUUAUUAAAAAUUAAUUUUUGGAACAACUUUAUUUACAAAACAAUUUUUGGACAAUUUUUAUUAAACAAAGAAAUUUUUUAACAAUGUCAUUAAAAACAAUUUUUCGAAUUCUAUUAAAAACAAUUUUUUUGGAUUUUUCUAAAUGCAUUUUUCUGAAUUUUUAUAAAUAAUAAAAAAAAACUUUCUUUUAUUAAAAAGAAUAUUUUAACAUUAGUAUUUUAUUAGAACAUAUUUACUGAAUUCUUCCUCUCAUUUAAAUAAAAUUUCUAAUUUAUUCGAUGUUUAAUUCUGUACACACUCAAUAAAUAUAUAUGAACAAAUAUUUACAAUAACUAAUUAAAAUAGAACCAAAUAAAAGUGGGAAAUAAAAUAUGUACCCAAAUAAACUUACAAUAAAUUCACGUAUCAUCAAUUCGUACUCAGCCAAUAAGAUUGCAGAAUGAGUCCAUGCAAAAACAAAAUAGCACAAAUGUAAAUAUCCAGAGAUAUAUAAAAUCCCAAACAAAUAUUCAAACCCAAAUUCCAAUUUCAAAUUAGUCUCAUAAAUUUCGUCAAUUAAAAUGAGCUCAAAUUACUAUAGGUCUUAACUCAGAAUAUCCAAAUUAAUAACCAAAAAUACAAACACAAUUAACCAAACCUAAAAUUGGAUAAAUUAAAAUAAAUUCUACUAGACCUAAAUUUAAUAUUUCAUAAUCUAUGCCUAGUUUAAUGUACACCACAAUUUUCCCAUGUCCUAAUUAAACAAUUCAAAUUGGCUAAGCCCAUAUCAAAUAUUCAAAUAAUCCAACAAAUCCCACCCACAUUAUGGGCCCCAAAAUUCACAUCAAUUAACAAGCUCACAUAAAAAAAUACAUGGUCAAGAGAAAUAAUAUUUCAAGCCCAAUCCAAUAAGCUCAAACAAAUAACAACUUAACAAUAGACCCAAGUCCAAAUAAGCAAUAUGCACUUGAUAUAAUCCAAAUAUCCUCAAAUUAAUCACCAAAUACAAUAUACCCAUAAACCCAAAUUAACAAAUUUCAAAUUAAUUCACUAACAAUAAAUUGAAUCAAAUUACGUAUUAAUCUACCAACAACAAAUUAACCCCAAAUUUCAUAUUAAUUCAAGAAUCCAAAUUUCACAAACAACAAUUACUAUUAAAAUAAAAUAAAAUAACAACAAUAACAAUAACAAUAAUAAUAAUAAUAAUAAUAACAAUAACAAUAAUAAUAACAAUAAUAAUAAUAACAAUAACAAUGAUAAUAAUAAUAAUAAUAAUAAUGGAAUGAGUGAAAAUGGGAGGGGGGUCGCUAAAUGGCAGUGGCUCGUCAACGGCGACUGGCCGAUGGUUUGCCGGCGGCACUGACAGAUAGUAAUAAUAAUAAUAAUAAUAAUAAUAGUAACAAUAAUAAUAAUAAUAAAUCAAAUAGAAUAGUGUUUGGAUCGAGAGAAAUGGAGGGAAAAUGAUGGAAAUAAAGAAAUGGGGUUCGGCAGGAGAGAAAAAAAAAAUGGGAAACAAAAAAAUAGGGGGAGUGUCAUUGGAAAAAGAAGAGAAAGGGAAGGAAAAAAAACCAAAACAAAAAAAUGGGGAAAAAGGGGCUGCUAUUGCCGUGUGAGAGUUUAGGGAGAAAAAUAGGAACAGAAAAAUAAGGAAGAGAGGAAUAAGGGGUUGGCCGAUCUUUUGGGAAUGGGUAAAGAGAGAGAAGAGAGAAAAAAAUUGGAGCCAAAAAAAAAACCCUCAGGUCGUCUCUCCAUUUUUUUUCGGGUAGUCCAGAGUAGAAGAAUUGGGGGGGGGGGGGGGGGGGGGGGGGGGGGAAAAGGGGGGCCCCCUUGGGGAAUGGGGGGAAAAAAGGGGGGGGCCAAAGGGGGAAAAAAAAAAGGGGGGAGGGGGGGGGGGGGGGGGGGGGGAAAAAAAAAAAAAAAAAAAAAAUAGGGGGGGGGGGGGGAAAUGGGAAAAAAAUUAAAAAAAUAAAAAAAAAAAAAAAAAAAAAAGAUUUAAUGGGGGCCCCCGUGGGGGGGGGUUGGGGGGAAAAAAAAAAAAGGGGGGGGGGGGGGGGGGGUUAAGAGGGAAAGGGGGAAGGGGGGGGGAAAAAAAAAAAAUAUUUAAAAAAANNNNNNNNNNNNNNNNNNNNNNNNNNNNNNNNNNNNNNNNNNNNNNNNNNNNNNNNNNNNNNNNNNNNNNNNNNNNNNNNNNNNNNNNNNNNNNNNNNNNGGGGGGGGGGGGGGAAAUGGCGGUCGUCCUUGGGAAUUGGGAGGAAAAAGUGGAUGGCCAAAUGGGGAGAAAAAAAAUGGGGGAAGGAGGGGGGGCGGUCGUGUGGGAAGAAUAGGAAGAGAGAGAGUAUGAGUGGGUGGGUGGAAAAUGGAAAAGAAUAUAAAAAAAUAAAAAUAAAAAUAAGAAAAGAGAGAUGAGAUGGCGGCCGAUGGUGAGGGGUAUGGGAGGAGAGAGAAGAAGUGGGUGGGGUGGUUGGGGAAUAGGAAGAGAGAGGAGAAAGGAGAGAGAAAAGAAAAAAUAAAUAAAAAUAAAAUAGAAUAUAAUAAUAAUAAUAAUAAUAAUAAUAAUAAUAAAAUAAAAAUAAAAGUAAUAGUAAUAAAAUAAAAUAAAAUAAUAAAAGCUAUUAAAUGGUGAGUGGACCAAAAAAUACAUGUAAUUGGAAUUUAAAAUUUUAUUGACAAAAUUGGGCUCAAAAUUAAUGUAAAAAUAAAAUUGGGACAAAUUUUGGAGUCUACAAAUAUGCCCCUCUUUAAUAGAGUUUAUGAGUAAAGUGAGUGUAUACACAAACGAAAUGAAGUGAACUUUGCUGAAGAACAAGAAAGACCACCAAAUUUGUCCUAGUAUGACAUGGGCUCUCUUAAAUGAUAAGGCUAGGGAAAAAUGACUUUGAAUGCCAAAAAAAGGAAAGAUGGUGACUCUAGGUGCCUGAAUGAGUAUGCACGACAACUCUGAACGCCAAAACUAAAGAAAGAAGAUGGCACUGAAUGCCAAGUUGGACAAUGGCUCUGAAUGCCAAAAUGAAGACACGACUCUGAAUGCCUAAAACUGAUAAAAGGAAUGGCUCUAAACACCUAAAACUGGAAAAGAUGGCUUUGAACGCUUAUGAAAGAAAAUUGUGGCUCUGAAUGCCAAAGGGAGAUCUGAAGGCCUAUAAUUCUAAACACCCAUGAAAGAAAGUAGUGGCUCUGAACACUUAAAGGGUGAAAACGACUUUGGGUCAUGAGCUCAAGGCUCUGAAUGCUAAGCUGACUAAUGGCUCUAAAUGCCAAGUUAACUGCUCUAAAUGUUGAACUGAAGAUAUGAUGACUUUGAAUGCCAAGCUGACCAAUGGCUUUGAAUGCCCGACCAUGAACGACGGCUCUAAACGCCAAACUAUGGACAAAUGGUGGCUCUGAACGCCAAACUAAGGAUAUGAUGGCUCUGAAAGCCAAACUGUUAGGAAAUGGUGUAUGUCUGACUGUGAACAAUGGAUCUAAAUGCCAAACUGUGAACAAUGGCUCUAAAUACCAAACUGCGGAGAGAUGAUGGCUUUGAAAGCCUAAAUGUGAACGAUGGCUCUGAACGCCAAACUGUAGAGAGAUCAUGACGGCUCUGAAUGCCAAACUGUGAACAAUGGCUAUGAACACUAAACUAUGGAGAAAUGAUGGCUCUGAACUCCUGAAUGUGGACGAUGGCUCUAAACACCUAAACUGUGGAUAAAUCAUGACGGCUCUGAAUGCCAAAUUGUGAAUGAUGGCUCUGAACUCCAAGCUGUGAGCGACGAACUCUAAAUACCAAACUAUGGAGAGAUGAUGGCUCUGAACGCCUGAAUGUGAAUGAUGGCUCUGAACACCUGAAUGUGGACGAUGGCUCUGAACGUCAAAUUGUAAGCGACGGGCUCUAAAUACCAAACUAUGGAUAUGAUGGCUUUGAACGCCUGAAUGUGAACGAUGGCUCUGAACGCCGAAAUUGGAAAUGCGGCUCUGAACAUCAAACUGAAAACCGAUGAUGGCUCUGAACGCCAAAACUGAGAAUGCGACUCUGAACGUCAAAUUGGGAAGUGAUGGUGGCUCUGAACACCGAAACUGAGAAUGCGACUUUGAAAGUCAAACCGAGAAGUGAUGGCUCUGAACGUCGAAAUUGAGAAACGGUGAUGGCUCUGAACGUCGAAACUGAGAAGCAAUGAUGAUGACUCUGAACCCGGAACUGAAAAAUGCGACUCUGAACGUCAAACUGAAAAUCGAUGAUCGCUCUGAACGCCGAAACUAAGAAUGUGACUCUGAACGUCAAACUAAGAAGCGAUAAUGAUGACUCCGAACCCCGAAACUGAAAAAUGCGACUUUGAACAUCAAACUAAAGGUCUAGCUCUGAACGCCAAACUGAAAAUGGCUCUAGAUAUCGAGCUAAAGACAAAUAACGGCUUUAAACGUCAAACUGAAGAUACGACUCUGAACGCCAAGAUGACGAUGUGGCUCUAAAUGCCGAACUGAAUGUGUGGCUUUGAAUGCCAAACCGAAAAGAGAUGGUGGCUCUGCAUGCCAAACUGGAAAGGGAUGGUGACUUUGAAUGUCAAACUGGGCAGAAAUGGUGGCUCUGAACACUGAAACUGGAGAUGCGGCUCUGAAUGCCGAAACUGUGAAACGAUGGUGGCUUUGAACAUUGAAACUAAGAAUUAUGGUGACUCUGAACGCCGAAACUGGAGAUGCAGCUCUUGAACGCCGAAAUAAAGAUGUGGCUCUGAAUGUCGAACAAAAAAAACAAGGAUCUGGAUGUCGAAAUGAAAAUGUGGCUCUGAACACCAAACGAAAAAUGAACGACAACUUUAAAUGCCAAACGAAAAAAGUGGUAGCUCUGAUGUCGAAAUGAAAAUGCAGCUCUGAACGCCAAACUGAAGAUGCGGCUCUGAACGCCAAAAUAAAGAUGUGGCUCUGAACGCUGAACAAAAAAACAAAGAUCUAGAUGUCGAAAUGAAAAUGUGGCUCUGAACUCUAAACGAAAAAAGAACAACGACUCUAAACACCAAACUGAAGAUACGGCUCUUAACGCCAAAAUAAAGAAAAAUGGUGUCAUCAAAUGCCAAAAUGAAAAUACAACUCUGAACGUCAAACUGAGAAAAGGUGGUGGCUCUGAACGCCAAACUAAAAAUGAUAUAAUGACCCUGAAUGUCGAACUAGGAACAUGGCUCUAAACGUCAAACUACGAAGAAAUGGUAGCUCUGAACACCAAACUAAAAAUAAUAGCUAUGAAUGCCAAGAGAAACAAUGACUCUGAAUGCCCAACUAAACUGAUAACUAGGAAUGUCAGGCUGAGAAAGACGACUCUGAAUGCCAUGACUAAGAAGACACGAUGGCUCUGAAUGCCAAGCUGAAAAUGGACGACUCUGUACGUUGUAUUCGAGAAUGGAUGGCGGCUUUGAACGCCAAACAGUAAGGAAACGAUGAGAGGGGGGAGGGGGGGGGAUAUGCCCUAGUGUAGCAUGCCGCCACAACUCUCUAUCCUCUAAGAAGGUAUAAAAGAGACUCCAUGAGCCUCAAGAGAUACUCUGCUAGUGAGUCGGAAUGAUCAAAUCGACUAUAAGCAUAGUCUCACAACCCAUCCGUCUGGAUCAUGAGGCCUGACGAGAUGUCACAAUGAGUCAGACGCCUCUAUCUCGAAAUGCUCUGCUGGAGGAAUUCAUAGUCAUCUCAAAUGGGUAAUCCACUAGGGAGUCUCAAGAGAAUAAUAUGCGAAGGUAACUACCACGAUCUCAUCAAAACAAUCUACUGCGAGGCCAUGGAUAACGGAACAAUCACAACUUGAAUGUCAUGCUCCACCGAAAGCUCAUCUCGAUAAAAAUCACAGGAAUAGUGACCAGUAAAGCAAAUACAGUAUCUCUCCGUCAAGUGAUGAAAACUGUAACAGAUCUGUGAAAGAAUGAUCAUCUCCAUAGCUAAAGGAAGGAAUAUGCCCCAGCAUGGCAUCAGAUGUACCCGAUCUAUCUUGAUAACUUAAGAAUAACUCCAUGGGGAUGCAUAAAAUAUCUGACAUGUACUCCACUAAAAUGGUGCUAUGGGAACCUAUGCGCCUGGAGUAACUCCACCCAAGAAUCACAACAAUAUCGAAAAAUAUGAGCCUGACUGAAAGACUCAAUAAAGGCUCCACUAGAGAAUCAGGACAAAAUGAAAUCAAAUCAUCAACCUGACGUGUAUCUCAUAACUAGGGAUGAUCAUGCAAAUCCAUGGAGAUCUACAAAUCUUGACUUAAAUGGCGAAUAUGCCCCAGUAUAGCAUUGAAUGUGUGACAGGUCAGAAAAAUCAAAUGACAUCAAAUCAUCAAUCAUCAACUAUGCAAUCCUGGUCACCCGAAUCCAUAACUGAAUCAUACCCACAGAUCCAAGAUGUACCUCUCGAAUGAAGAAGCAUGAUGGCAUCUAAGUGCUGAGAAGUGCGAGCCUAACUGGAUGGCUCCCGGGAUGCUCAACUAAAGAAACAUCAUAAAAAUAACGAACAGGUCAUCGUCUCGAUGAGCAUCCCAUAAGUGGGGAUGAUAACAUAGCUCUGUGAAGAUCUAUAACUCUCAUCCAAAACAGAAAUAUGCCCCAGUAUGACACCAGAUGUACGAUAGGUCAGAAAUCGGGUGACAUGAAAUCAUCCAUCAUCAAAUGCGCAAUCUCCAUAAUCCAAAUCAAACCCAAACAUCUAUGAAAUGUCUCCCGGAAUAAUAAGCACGACGACAACCAAAUGCCUAAAAAUGUAGGCUUGGUUGAAUAGAUCCAGAGAGGCUCCACUGAAGGAUCAUGAUAAAAUAAUGAACACGUCAUCGCCUCAGCGUACAUCUUGUAAGUAGGGAUAAGCAUGCAACUCCAUGAAGAUCUGUAAAUCUUGUCCGGGACGGAAAUAUGCCCCAGUAUGGCGUCGAAUGUACGGUAGGUCAGAAACCAAGUGACAUGGAAUCAUCUAUCAUCGAACAUGUGAUCUCCGUGAUGCAAAUCAAAUCCAAACAACUAGGGAACGUCUCCCAAGAUAAGAAACAUGACGGCAACCAAAUGCUGAGAAAUGUGGGCCUGGUUGGAUGGCUCCACAUAGGCUCCACUGAGGGAUCAUAAUAAAAUAACGAACGAGUCACUCAUCUCAGCGUACAUGUUGCAAGUGGGAACAAGCAUGCAACUCCAUGAAGAUCUAUAGAUCUCGCCCGAAAAGGAAUAUGCCCCAGUAUGACAUCGAAUAUGUGAUAGAUCAGAAAAAUCAGGUGACAUCAAAUCAUCCAUCAUCAAGCGCAUGAUCCCGGUAAUCCAAACACAGCUGAAUUAAAUCUAAACAUCAACGAGGCGACUCCCAGAAGAAGAAGCAUGACGAUAUCUAAAUAUUAACCAGAUCUCAAACACCUGUCCAAGUAGAGGCUGUCGAAGACGACAUCUGGUCCCAUGGCCUCAGGAUGGUCUUAAGACACGAGACGUAACGUAGGCCAAGGUGAUAGGGUGAUAGAAAUGAAAGAAAAUUAGGCUCAAAUACCCAAUGAUCAAAAACCCAUGCCCUCAUAUAUGAAAUGCAACAUGUAUAGUGAAUCCUGUGAGCCAUGGACCUAAGGAUGCCUAACGUGAAUAUGAUGUCGAUAAGGAGACAAAAAAAAAAAGCAAAAUGAACUGAUAAUGAUAUGUGUAAUGAUGAUGCGAAGAGAGUAUCAAACCCAAGAUGGGUUGUUGUAAGAAAAGAAUAAGACGUGAAGUGAAAAUGAUGAAUCAGAAACGAAAACGAGAAUGAUGAUGAAAUAAAUAACACAAAGAGGAGUAGUGAUCAACUCAAAUCAGACAUGGAGUGAAGUCACAUCAACAAUGAAUGUAAUGAUGGAAGGGACAAUGACCCAGAUCUUCUAAGAGAAGGUCACUCAUCUCGCUCUCAAAAUAUACAAUAAAAAUGAAUACAAAGAAUGGAGGGUCUCGGAAAGCUCACAUACGAACUCUCAUCAACAAACAUACUCAAUCAAGUGACCCUCGAACAUCAAUAUACACACUCAAUGAUAGAAAAUAAUACACACGUGUUUUUUUUUUUUUUUCAAAUUUUUUUUAACAUAUAUACAAAUGUACACACCCUGAACAUGAACAAAAUAAGCCUCAAAGAUUAUAUCAAUAAUGGAUGACACGCUCUCGAGCGCUAAAGUAACAAAAACUCUCUCUGACAAGAUGACCUUCUCAAACUAAGAAUCUCUGAACCAGUGUCCGUGGGAUAGAUAGUGGUAAUGAUGUGACUACCUUCCAUGUAAUGAACUGAGGAGGAUCACCACUCAAGGUGGAAAGAAUAUGAAGCAAAACAAGCAAUAGAUAGAAUAAAGAAGAAGAGAUGAAGAACAUAACCAAUGAGAUACGAUGGAAUGCAAUGAUGCAGUGAUGAAGAAAGAUAAUGAGAAGAAUGCGUCCCUAGGUCCAAAGCUCACGGAACUCCCAAACAAUGAAUGCAUACACUAAAGGGCCCUUAUCUCGGUGUGAAAAAUGUGAGCAAGGCGAUAAAAACGAAAGGUUGUAAUAUGCAUGCGAGGUUCAAUGGGCUAGCAACAGACGAUAUAUCAAAAGGGAAUAACAAGGUGUAUGGCUAACCGAAAUGAUGGCCACCCAUCCUACGACCAUGGUCUCAAACAUAGUACCUCUUUAGCUGAUCCACAUUGGUCGGCUCAGAGAAUUGGUUUCCAUCUAAUUGCAUCAACCAUGCAGCGCCCUCUAGGGUCAACUCCCUGAUGAAAUAAGGUCCGCUCUAGCUGGGUCUGAACUUCCAUCUAGGAUCUCUAAUCAAUCCUCUGAUGACCCUCAAGACUAAGUCACCUCUUUAUAAUGGUCAAUCAACAAUCUCUACUAUCUUCCUUCACCAGUGGGAGAUGAAGGAAGAAAUGGACUCAUCUAAUCUCUGUCUGAAACCCUUAAGCUCUCUCCUCGACACAUCUACGACAGUACUAAAUGAAAACUGUCACAAAAACUCCUAAGCUAGGUUGUCCCAUGUCCUGCGUCGCGAGGACUCCAAAAAUGUGAACUAAUGUUGGGCUGCACCACUCAGAGAUAAAAGAAACAUGGUGAUCAUCUGUGACUCGUCUAGCCUAUGGGCCCUCAUCACAGUACUAUAGAGUCAAAGAUGAAUACAUGGACAACCAACACCCAUGUACCUCUCAAUGUCAAGCAUCCUGAACUUGGCUGGUAGACUGGCCCCUGGUAUACUAUCAAGAUCAUCGCAAGCUGAUGAACUGUCAGAUACCCUCAACUGCCUGAUACACUACUCGAUACUAUCCAUACAUGCAUGAGUAUCCUCAAGGACUGUCUACUCUGCUGACUGUCUAUCUCCUGCCUGAGAUUGGCUAAGGCCUCCUAAAUAAAAGCCAUGGCAGCCGUGAACUGAUCAACUGUGACAACUCGCUGAUCCAUGUCUGAUCUCUCGGAAAAAUGAACUAAUCUUCCCUUUACUCUAACCUAAUAUGACAAAUCCACACUGAGAAUGAAAAAUCAAUCCUGAAGAGCAUGAAACACAAGAUACCUGAAUAGAAUCCAUGGCGUCUGUGAACUAGUCAAAUGUGACAGUCUGCUGAUUUAUGUCUGAUCUCUGGGAAAAUUGAACUAAGCUCCUUUAUACUCUAACCCAAGAUGGUAAAUCCACAAUGAGAAUGAAGAACCAAUCCUGAAGAGCAUGAAGCACGAGAUAUGGUAGGCACAGGGAAAACAUGGAAGAAAUGCUAGUCAGAAUUGGAAUGAGCAAGACAUAAAAAAUAGGGAAUACUGAUCUUGGUGCACUCUCACUAGAGACUAAAAGAGGGAAUACUGAAUCCCAACUAUGAUCAAAGAGGCUCUGAAGGCCCUCAGAUGCACCCACGUAUAGAGAGGGAGUCCUAAUCGAAGGAUCUACGGCUCAACCUACGAGGUCAAGGUGACUCUAAAUGGAUAUGGGUGGACUUUAAAAUAUCCCUAGCAGAAGCAAUCAUACCCUCCGGCGGUACGCAACCCUCUGCACGCCUCCGAAGAGACGGGGCGCUUCCAUGUAAUGUGGUCAUCACCUCCACACAUGCACUACCUCGACAUCCUAGGGGGUUUCCUAUGGUGAAACCUCUCAAAACUCUCAACUCUUAUGGUCAGCUAGAGUGCGCAGUGACGGUGUGGGUGUAUCCAAAAAUCCUAUGAAGUCAAAGUAGAAAAAAAGAAACACACUAAUCACACAAAUAUCCAUGAAACCUAGCUUUGGGCUAUACAGGUCUUCAAAGAUCGGACUCCUAUCAACAUCAACGUGUCGACCUCCUCCAAAAUGCUCCCAAACAUCGAUAUAGCCCGUCGCUAAACCCUACUCCUAACCGCUAGCUCAGUCGAAGAGCAAACAAAGUAACAAGUCUCAUAUCAAAUACGAGAUCAAGUGAAACAAGGUUGACCGAGUAUAGGGAGUUGGAGGUAAGGGGAUAGAUGUGUGUCCCACACAGACAAGCAAUACAUGCAUCACAUAAAAUAAUAGCAAUCAUGCACCAAACACUCAUGUAAAUAACAGGUAUAUAACUCAUAUCUACACACAAGCUAGGCAAGAAUAUGAUAAGCAAGAUAGGAAUAUAACAAGAAUAGACAAUAUGUCGAGAUAAACAAGAUAAUAUACAACAAAUAAAAUCAAUCAUGCCAAGAUGAAUGAGAUAUACAAAAAUGAGAAUAUACAUGUCCAGGAAAGCAAGAUAAUCAUACAACAAGAAGAGUCACUAUGCUAAAGUAGGUAAGAGAAUCAAUCGAUGUAAUCAAUAUGUGAACAUCUCCAAUGAACAAUAAUAACUAAACAAGCCUCAUGGAUAAACAUAUCAAAGCUCUCAACAUGUAAUCAACACCCAAUCAUACAAAAACACAUAAAGAGGGGUAUCCACUGAUCAACCAAUCAAACGCCACAUUUCUCUCAACUCGAGUUCAAGUUUGACCCUCUAAAAAAAAAAUUCCCCAGUGGAGUCGCCAUUUUGUGGACCCCGUAUUUUGCUGGAUACGUUCCCACUCAAUGGCAAAAACUCACUUUUUUUAUUUUGUUUGGUGAAAAUUUGAUCUUUAGAAAAAGACUUGGAGUCGCCACUUAUUUUUGUUUUAUUUUUAAAGGGAAAAACAAAAUAAGAAAGAAAAACCCUAAGUAUGACUCCUGAAGGAAAAAACGGGUCUGUGAAAAACCGAGUCUGGGUCGGGGGGUCAGGUUAGUCAUUGGGAAUGUAUGGUGGUGAGUCGUAGCACCCCUCUAAGCCCGUAUACGUACGACCUUUACUAAACGAAUUGAGGAAAUUGUGGCAAUUAAUUAAUUAAUUAUAGAUACAAAAAAAAAAAAAUCAAUAUACAAGUCAUGGUGAAAAUUAAUAUGCACAAAAACAAUGAUGAAAUCUAAUUACAAAAAUACACAAAAUAAAUAAUAAGAGAAUUAUGCAAAAUGAUUUAUUGAAUUAAAUAAAUAAAAUAUAUUAAAAAAAGGUUUUAAAGAAAUUUCAAAGGAUUUUAUUAAAAAUGAUUUUGAAUUAAUGAUUUCCAUUUAUUUACUUAUAAAGAAGAAUCAAUUUAUUUUCUCAAUUUCAGUUGUAUUCAAUUUUCAAAAAAGCUAUUUACACUUAUUGUAUCAAAAGAAUUUAUUACAAAAUUUCAAUUUGGGCACAAAAAUUAUUUUUACUUGCUUUUACUAGAAAAUAUUGAAUUUUUACAAUUUUAUUUACAAAAGUAUUUAGAUUCAUUUUCAUUUAAAAGAGUGAUUUUUAUAAAUUAUUUAAAAUGACAUAACUUUAUUUGCAAAAGAAAUUUUAAUUAAAAAGAAAAACAAAUAUUUAAAUUCUCUAUUUUUGAAAAACACUUUUAAUCCCAUUUUAAUUAAGGAAAAAGAAUUCAUUUGAAAAAAAUAUUUUUAGACAAUUUUAUUAAAAAUUAAUUUAUGGAACAACUUUAUUUACAAAACAAUUUUUGGACAAUUUUUAUUAAACAAAGAAAUUUUUGAACAAUGUCAUUAAAAACAAUUUUUGGAAUUCUAUUAAAAACAUUUUUUUUGGAUUUUUCUAAAUGCAUUUUUCUGAAUUUUUAUAAAUAAUAAAAAAAACUUUCUUUUAUUAAAAAGAAUAUUUUAACAUUAGUAUUUUAUUAGAACAUAUUUACUGAAUUCUUCCUCUCAUUUAAAUAAAAUUUCUAAUUUAUUCGAUGUUUAAUUCUGUACACACUCAAUAAAUAUAUACGAACAAAUAUUUACAAGAACUAAUUAAAAUAGAACCAAAUAAAAGUGGGAAAUAAAAUAUGUACCCAAAUAAACUUACAAUAAGUUUCACGUAUCAUCAAUUCGUACUCAGCCAAUAAGAUUGCAGAAUGAGUCCAUGCAAAAACAAAAUAGCACAAAUGUAAAUAUCCAGAGAUAUAUAAAAUCCCAAACAAAUAUUCAAACCCAAAUUCCAAUUUCAAAUUAGUCUCAUAAAUUUCGUCAAUUAAAAUGAGCUCAAAUUGGUCUUAACUCAGAAUAUCCAAAUUAAUAACCAAAAAUACAAACACAAUCAACCAAACCUAAAAUUGGAUAAAUUAAAAUAAAUUAUACUAAACCUAAAUUUAAUAUUUCAUAAUCUAAGCCUAGUUUAAUAUACAUCACAAUUGUCUCAUGUCUUAAUUAAACAAUUCAAAUUGGCCAAGCCCAUAUCAAAUAUUCAAAUAAUCCAACAAAUCCUACCCACAUUAUGGGCCCCAAAAUUCAUAUCAAUUAACAAGCUCACAUAAAAAAAAAUACAUGGUCAAGAGAAAUAAUAUUUCAAACCCGAUCCAAUAAGCCCAAACAAAUAACAACUUAACAAUAGACCCAAGUCCAAAUAAACAAUAUGCACUUAAUAUAAUCCAAAUAUUCCUAAAUUAAUCACCAAAUACAAUAUACCCACAAACCCAAAUUAAAAAAUUUCAAAUUAAUUCACUAACAAUAAAUUAAAUCAAAUUACGUAUUAAUCUACCAACAACAAAUUAACCUCAAAUUUCAUAUUAAUUCAAGAAUCCAAAUUUCACAAACAAUAAUUACUAUUAAAAUAAAAUAAAAUAACAACAAUAACAAUAACAAUAAUAAUAAUAACAAUAACAAUAAUAAUAAUAACAAUAACAAUGAUAAUAAUAAUAAUAAUAAUAAUAAUAAUAAUAAUAAUAAUAAUAAUAAUAAUAAUAAUGGAAUGAGUGAAAAUGAGAGGGGUCGCCGACCGGCAGUGGCUCACCGGCGACGACUGGCCGAUGGUUUGUCGGUGGCACUAACAGAUAGUAAUAAUAAUAAUAAUAAUAAUAAUAAUAAUAAUAGUCACAAUAAUAAUAAUAAUAAAUCAAUAGAAUAGUGUUUGGAUCGAGAGAAAGCGAGGGAAAAUGAUGGAAAUAAAGAAAUGGGGGCUGACAAGAGAGAAAAGAAAAAGGAAAACAAAAAAACAGGGGAAAUGUCAUGGGAAGAAGAAGAGAAAGGGAGGGAAAAAAAACCAAAACAAAAAAAUGGGGAAAAGGGGCUGCUACUGCCGUGUGAGAGUUUAGGGAGAAAAAUAGGAAUAGAAAAAUAAGGAAGAGGGGAAUAAGGGGCGGCCGAUCUUUUGGAAAUGGGUAAAGGGAGAGAGGAGAGAAAAAAAUUGGAGCAAAAAAAAAAAAUCCCUCGGGCCGUCUCUUCAUUUUUUUCGGGUAGUCCAGAGUAGAAGAAUGGGGGGAAGAAGAAGAAGCGGGAAAAAACAAAAAAAAAUGGAGGGGAAAAAUGGCGGUCGUUCUUGGGAAUUGGGGGGAAAAAGUGGAGGGCAAAAUGGGGAGAAAAAAAAUGGGGGCGGCGGCGACGGCGGCGGCCGUGUGGGAAGAAUAGGAAGAGAGAGAGUAUGAGUGGGUGGGUGGAAAAUGGAAAAGAAGAUAAAAAAAAAAUAAAAUUAAAAAUAAGAAAAGAGAGAUGAGAUGGCGGCUGAUGGUGAGGGGAAUGGGAGGAGAGAGAAUAAGUGGGUGGGGUGGUUGGGGGAGUAGGAAGAGAGAGGAGAGAGAAAAGAAAAAAUAAAAAUAAAUAAAAAUAAAAUAGAAUAUAAUAAUAAUAAUAAUAAUAAUUAUAAUAGUAAUAAUGAUAAUAAAAUAAAAGUAAUAGUAUUAAAAUAAAAUAAAAUAAUAUACAAAAUAAUAAAAGCUAUUAAAUGGUGAGUGGGUCAAAAAAUACAUAUAAUUGGAAUUUAAAAUUUAUUAAUAAAAUUAGGUUUAAAAUUAAUAUAAAAAUAAAAUUGAGACAAAUUUUGGGAUGUACAAAAAUGUUUGGAUAUUAGAAGGUCUAAAGUUUAGGCUUUUAUUAGUAAUAUUUCUAUGAAAAAACAAAAAAUUUAUCUUGCUUUUUUUAAAACAUUUUUUUCAAAAUUUUGAAAAUUUUGAGAAAGUAAAAAAUUUUUAAUCCUUAAAUGUUAAGUAUUUUAAAAAGUGUUUUCAAGUAAAAAAAAUAUAUGUACUUACUUUUGUAUAAGAAUUUUUAUAUUUUAUUCUAUUUUAUAAACAAAAAUAAAAAAUGUAUCCAAACAUAUACUAACUAAUUCUCUUUAAAAAUGUUUCUAAUGGAAAGGUACUAACAAAUGACUUUCAAAUAAAAAUGGUUUAAACAAAAUCACUCUCAAACAAGUCUAAGUUAUAAUAAAUAUUUUUCACCAAAAUGAUUUUUAUUUAAAGAAGAAGCCUCAAAAUGAUUUUAAUUUAAACUCAUUUCAUUUGUAAUCUUGUAAUCCCAUGCCCUAAAUGUUCCCAUUCAUCAAUUCCAUUGGUAAAAUUUUAUUAGAAUUAAUAAUUAUUAAAAAAAUUAAAUUCAAAACCUUUUUUAAAAAUCCCACUGUUUAUAUUGUAAUUUGGAUAGUCAUUUCUAAUAAAAAAGAUAUUAUCAAUAUUUUAUUUUUAUUUAUUUUCAUUUUGGUGAAAUUAUAGAAUUACGUGAAUUUUUCUUCUUAAAAUAAAAAAAAUAUUAUAAAGAAAAUGGGGGAAAGCUAAUACGCUAGAUGAAAAUAUAUGGAUUAAUAUGUGCAAUCAAUUUGCAUAAAAUUAAAAUUCUGAUUAUUUUCAUUUUUAUUGUUGUUAUUUAAUCAAAAUAACAAUAAGCGGAAUGAAAAAAAGAAACGUGAGAAUUAAAAAUUCUUCGUGGAAAAUGCUAGCUAGUUGUACUAAUAUUUCAUAGUGGGAGGCUAUAUUUGUUCGCCAUUUUUUCCAAAGAACUUUAUUAAAGGUGAUGGUGAUGGUGAUUAUUUUCCACAUAUAUCAUCAUGUGUCUUGUGCAUGAUUAAAUCUUUAUUCUUGUACUGGAAUAUCAUAUUGAUCUAAGAAAUUUAUAAUUAUAAAAAGAAUUAAAUUUUGUGGCUUAAAAAUGAGGAUUACCUAUUUACCCCUCUAGAUAGUUUCAAGAAUUAAGAUAAAAACUUUUAAAAAUCAUAUCAAGUUUCAUGGUAAAAUAUCAUCAACCCUCCAAAAUGUUAAAAGACUUAAAAUUUUAUCAAAAUAAAAAUUAUUUUUUAAUAAUAUAAAAUAGAAUAAUCCUUUUGAUAGAAAGUGGCACUCUAAAGAUUUUCAUUGAAAAUAUCAUCCAUUAGGCAUUGUGCCCCAAUUUUUUCUAUGGAAGAUGCCAACUGGUUAUGCUAAAAUUUCCAAGGUGGGAGGCCAUAUUGUCUGCCAUUUUAUCCCCAUUUUUUCUUAUCAGAGCGCCACUUUAAUAGAGGUCAUAGUGAAGAUGAUGGUGGGUACACUAAAGUCCACUUUAUUAAAGGUGAUUGUAAACAUGAUAAUGACUUUUAAAUGAUUUAAGCUCUUCGAUAAGGAAAAACUAUACAUCAUAUAUCAUCACGUCUUAUGUAUAAUUUGAUCUUUAUUCUUAUGCUUGGAUAAUAUACUUUGAUUAAAGAAAUUUAUAGUUAUGAAAAAAAUUAAAUUUUGUGACUUAAAAAUAUAAAUUACUUAUUUACUCCCUCCAAAUGGUUUAAAGAAUUAAUAAAAACUUUUAAAAACUAUACAGAAUUUCAUGGUAAAAUAUCAACUCUCAAGAAUGUCAAAAGACUUAAAAUUUUAUCAAAAUAAAAACUAAUUUUCAUUAAUACAAAAGAGAAUAAACUUUUUUCUUGGAUAGAAAGUGAUACUUAGAAGAUUUUCAAUUAAAAAUAUUAUACCAUAGGCGUUGAUAGAAUGUUAGCUAACAUGUUUAUCAAGGAUUUAAUUUGUGAAAAAUGAAUAAAAAUCAAUUAACUAAUUGAUAGGACAGUUGAAAGUGCAUUUGAUAAUGAUUUUAAAAAAUGUUUUUAGUCUUAAAAGUAUUUUUAAAAAAAAUUAAAUAUGAUAAAAUUUAGACAAUACUUUUAAAAAUAUGAAAAAUCUCUUGUAAUUGUGAAAAAUCUUUUACAAUAUUUUUCAAAGAAAUACUUGAUAGAAGAUUAUCUUAAAAACUAUUUUGAAUACAAUAUUUUCGAUAAAAAUGCUUCUACUAAAAAUAGUACCAAAUACACUUCUAAUAAUUACAUUUCCCACAAAUUUUCUAGAAACCAAACAUAUUAAUGGGAAUAAGGGAACAUGAAGCACCCUCUCCAACGAGAAGUUGAAGCCAAUACCUAUACCUUCUAAACCAACUCCUCUCUUCUGCUUGAUUCAUCGUCUCAAAGCUCUCCACACUCAUCAUUUCCCUCAAAACUAGUUAUUAAUCCUCUUUGACAAAACCAUGGGCAACAUUUUCUCCAUUUCAAUCUCCGUUGACCACCUUAUCUCUAGUUGCUGGAAUCGCACUACUGAACAUGCAAAUUACCUGUGCAAACUCCCAGAAAAUCUGGUAGCUCUGGGAACUGCUUGUGAAAGAUUGAGGGAGUUCAGGAACGAUGUGAUGAGGAGGGUGGAUAUCGCUGAGAGGGAACAAAUGCAGCGGCUCGACCAAGUACAAGGGUGGCUUUCAAGGGUUGAAACUCUGGAAACUCAAGUCACUCAACUGAUUGGAGAUGGCACCGAGGAGGUUGAGAAGAAAUGUAUGGGUGGUUGCUGUCCUAGGAAUUGCAGGACCAGAUACAAGUUGGGGAAGAGAGUAGCUAGAAAGUUGAAAGAAGUGGACAUUCUAAUGAGCCAAAGACCUUCGGAUGCGGUGGCUGAGAGGUUACCUUCACCUCGCCUAGGUGAAAGGCCUAAUCAAGCAACUGUCGGCAUGAAUUUCAGAAUUGGUAAGGUUUGGAGCAGCCUUCAUCAAGAACAAGUGGGAAUUAUCGGCCUAUAUGGAUUAGGAGGAGUUGGGAAAACCACCCUCUUAACCCAAAUCAAUAAUGCUUUUACCAAAAGAACAGAUGAUUUUGAUUUUGUGAUCUGGUCAACAGUUUCCAAAAAUGUAAACCUUGAAAACAUUCAGGACGACAUCUGGAAGACGAUAGGGUUUUGUGAUGAUAAAUGGAAAAGCAAAAGUCGAGAUGAGAAAGCUAAGAGCAUCUGGAGAGUCCUGAGCGAAAAGAGGUUCGUGCUGUUGCUAGAUGAUUUAUGGGAGUGGUUGGAUUUAUCAGACGUCGGAGUCCCAUUCCAAAAUAAGAAAAAUAAGAUAGUAUUCACCACUCGAUCAGAAGAGGUGUGCGCUCAAAUGGAAGCGGAUAAGAAGAUCAAAGUGGAAUGCCUAACAUGGACAGAAUCCUGGGAAUUGUUUCGAAUGAAGCUUGGAGAAGACACUCUCGAUUUCCAUCCUGAGAUACCGGAGCUCGCUCAAGCCGUCGCACAAGAGUGUUGUGGUUUGCCACUUGUGCUAACUACCAUCGGCAGGGCCAUGGCUUGUAAGAAGACGCCGCAGGAAUGGAAAUAUGCAUUUAAAGUGUUACAAAGCUCUGCCUCAAAAUUUCCAGGUAUGAGUGACAGAGUGUUCCCUCUUUUAAAAUACAGUUAUGAUUGCUUACCCACCGAAGUUGUCAGAUCUUGCUUCUUGUAUUGUUCUCUAUUUCCAGAAGAUUAUCAGAUACCAAAAAUAGCUAUGAUAAAGCGUUGGUUUUGUGAAGGCCUUUUAGACGAAUUUGAUGACAUGAAGGGAGCAGAAAACCAGGGUUACAACAUUAUUGGCACUCUGAUUCAUGCAUGUCUAUUAGAAGAAGGUGAUGUUGAUUAUGUAGUAAAACUGCAUGAUGUAAUCCGUGAUAUGGCAUUGUGGAUAGCUUGUGAAACAGGGAAGGAGCAGGACAAGUUCUUGGUGCAGGCCUCCAGUGGGUUAACUGAAGCUCCUGAAGUUGCUAGAUGGAUGGGACCAAAAAGGAUUUCACUUAUCGGUAACCAAAUUGAGAAACUAACAGGGUCUCCUAAUUGCCCCAAUCUCUCAACUUUGUUUCUUCAGGAUAAUAGUUUGAAGAUGAUCACUGAUAGUUUCUUCCAGUUUAUGCCAAAUCUAAGAGUUUUAGACUUGUCAAGGAAUGCUAUGACUGAAUUACCACAGGGAAUCUCUAAUUUGGUUUCAUUACAGUAUCUCAACCUAUCACAAACUAACAUUAAAGAGUUGCCAAUUGAGUUGAAGAACCUGGGUAAAUUGAAAUUUUUGUUGUUGCAUCGCAUGAGACUUUCUUCAAUUCCAGAGCAGUUGAUAUCAAGUCUUUCAAUGUUGCAAGUGAUUGAUAUGUUCAACUGUGGAAUUUGUGAUGGUGAUGAAGCCUUGGUUGAGGAAUUGGAGUCCUUAAAGUACUUGCAUGAUUUAGGUGUCACUAUAACAAGUGCCUCUGCUUUCAAAAGGCUUCUAAGCUCUGACAAGCUAAAAAGUUGCAUUUCCGGUGUAUGCCUCGAGAAUUUCAAUGGUUCAAGCUCUCUCAAUUUAACAUCUCUCUGCAAUGUAAAGCGUCUCCGUAACCUCUUUAUCUCAAACUGUGGCUCGUCGGAAGAUUUGGAGAUCGAUUGGGCUUGGGAAGGAAAGGAAACAACAGAAUCUAAUUACCUUAACUCAAAGGUCAGUUCCCACAGCAGUUUCCACAACCUUUCGUGGCUAAGAGUCAAAAGGUGUUCGAGGUUGAAGGAUCUAACAUGGCUUGUUUUUGCUCCAAACCUUAAAGUUCUUUUAAUAACUAGUUGUGAUCAAAUGCAAGAAAUAAUAGGUACCGGUAAAUGUGGUGAAUCUACAGAGAAUGGCGAAAACCUGAGUCCAUUUGUCAAACUCCAAGUACUUACGUUAGAAGAUCUACCACAAUUGAAGAGCAUAUUUUGGAAAGCCCUGCCAUUUAUCUACUUAAAUACAAUCUAUGUAGAUAGUUGUCCACUUCUAAAGAAGCUGCCACUCGACGCCAACAGUGCCAAGGAACAUCGGAUUGUCAUUUCCGGACAAACCGAGUGGUUUAAUGAACUAGACUGGGAGAAUGAGGCAACUCACAACGCUUUUCUUCCAUGUUUCGUACCUAUUGAAGAAUAAGGGCCUGCAGCAAUCUCAGAGAGGCUACAAUGCGAUUCUCGGUGAGACCCUUUUCACAAUUAACUAUCAUUUGAUCCUGAAUAGGUAUUGGUCCAAAUAAAGCAUUCAAUUAUAGCAUCUUUUCAUGGUCGUAUACCUCCCACGUACUGCUGAUACACUUAAAAAAAUGCUAUUCCAUUUCAAACAUGUAAGGCAAUUGAUUGCGGGUUUACAAGGAGUCAUCUUGUUAUUGGAAUUCAAAAUAUACAACUUUUAUGGUUAUGUUUUCUUCUUAAAAAGUAUUAAUAAAAGAAAAUAAAUAUUAAUGAAAAUGAUUUUUUCAUAUUAUUAUAUUAUCAAAAAUAUAAAAGAAAAUAAAAUUAGUUUGAAAUUUACAUAUUUUUUAAAUUGUUUAAUUUUUAUAUUGAAGAGUUAAAAUAAAUAAAACAAGUUAGAAAUAGCAUAUAAAAGUAAUCUAUUAAUUUUAAAUUUAUUUUUUAAUUUUUUUCACUUUUUUUUCCUUGUAUCUUUCCUUUCUAUUUUCUUUUCAUUACAAUUUUUCUCAAAUUUUCCAAGAACCAAACAUAACCUACAUAUAAUGAUCAAAUAUAAUCUUACAAACCAACCCAUAUAAAAAUUUAAGUCCAUUCUUGUGGCUUUUCUAAUUUGGUUUAAUAAGUCAAUAGUAUAUAUUCUUAUACAAUCUUAUUUUGUUUAGUUGCAGAAUAUAACCUCAUAUGCCAUAAAUGCUUCCGCAAUCUUCAGUUAAUGAGAAUCCAUUGUUUUCCAAGGUGAAGGAUAUGGAUGGCUUAAUUUUCAUGCCAACUUUUCAGUAUGUUGAUGACAUUGUAGGCUACCGAAAUGGAACAUAUAAUUGCUUAUAUAUGUGAGGUAAACAAUUGGUUUAUGUAUGUUGUUUCAUAGUGUUUGUGUGCAUAUGUUGUUUCUCUUUGAAUUGCAAUAUUACAUUUUUUGUAUUCUAAGGAUUGUGAGAUGCAUUUUAUGAUUUGUGUAAAAAUUUUGAGUUGGAUGGCUUUCCUUAAUUGCUUUACUUCAAUUGAAGAGCAUGUACAUAAUAUCUUUGAUUGGAAACAAUCUAAUGUAUAAUUUAAAAAAAUAAUCAUAUUUUCAAAUAGAAAAGAUAGAUGAGUUAGGGUACUCCUAGAUCAACUAGGAAUUGUAUCUUUGUUUAUGGAGAAGCAAGCAUUCUUGAGAAAAAAAAUCAAGUCCCUCUUUGUACAAAAAUUUUAGGGGAGAACUUGCCCAAGUCAUGGGUAGACCAUAAUUGGGGCACCUUAGCUAAGGGUCCCAUUUGGUUCCCUAUCUGUGUUUAUCAAAUGUGCCUUUUCAUAAUUGUAAUGGGAAUGGAGUGUGGGAUUUAUAUAACAUUAAAGCAUGUAUUCCUUAAUUUUGCAAUAUGUUAAAGAGGAUGAAACAUUUUUUAUUUGUUGCAAUUCAAGAGCAUGUACUAAAAUGCUCUCUCCAUGUGUUCAAAAUAGAAGAACUCAUUUAUCUUAUGCCCUAUAAAACUUUUUUCAAAAUUUUGAGAAAGUGAAAAAUUUUCACUUCUUGAAAUUUUUAAAUUUUUUUUAUAAAGUGUUUUCAAGCAUAUAAGGUAUUUACUUGUUUUUGUAUAAUAAUUCUUGUAUUUUAUAUAAGACUUCCUAUUUUAAAAAUAAAAAAUAGAAUAUGUAUCCAACCAAGUGAUUCUCUUAACAAAAGUACUAUAAAUAAAAAUACUUUAACGAGAGUCACUCCCAAACAUGUUCUAAGUUAUAUUUUCUAAUGGACUAGCUUUUCUAUCAAAAAAGUUAUUGAGUAGACAAUAAUUUAUAAAAUGCAAAACAUUUUUACUCUAUGGUAAUUUUUAUUUAUCUUUUUCUGUUUAAUAUCCACCUCUCAAUAUCUUGGUAUUUUAAACGAAGGAUAUAAUUUUAUUAGUUGUGCACAUGACAUUAUCUUAUAUAUCCAUGUAAGGUUUUUUCUAAAAUAAGUAAUUAAAAAUUUCAUUAUUAAAAAAAAUAGAAUCAAUAAUAUCUUAUUUUUAUAUAAUACCAAAAUUAACAAAUUUCUUACCAUUUAUGGUUCAUAUAACAAGAAAUAAAUAAGUAAAUGUGUGAAACUAAUAAAAAUAAUUGUUAAUUUAUGGUAAUUAUUUGGAAUAUAUUAAUAUUUAACCGAUGGAGCAUUAGCUUAGCUUAGUUAGAUCAUUUUACCCAACAUAAGUUUUUUAUUUAUUAUUUUAACAUACUAUCAAAUCACUUUUUUUUUUGUUUAUAUUCAAAUAGUAAGUUAUUCUAUUUUAAACUAUUUCUAAUGUAACCACUAUUUAAAAACACUUUUAAAAAUCUCAAAAAAUAACUUGAGGUGAUUUGUAAACAAUCACUUGAUAUGAUUUUCUUAAAAAUCAUUUUUUAAUAAAAUAAUAUGUUACAAAAAAAAAAAUACUAUCAAAACAUUUUUUUUAAUUUAUAUUUAUAGUUAUGGAUAUGCUUCCUAUCUAUAUACAAAAUAUAAGAACUCUAAUGUAUAAAACAAAAUUUUUAUCUUGUGUCUUUAAAACUUUCUUCACAAUUUUGAAAAUUUUGAGAAAGAUAAUUUUUUUAAUCCUCAAAUUUUAAAAAGUAUUUUCAAGUAUAUGAGGUAUUUAUUUUUUUUCUAAGAAUUUAUAUAUUUUAUAUGAGACUUUCUAUUUUAAAAACAAAGAUGGGAAAUGUAUACAUACAUAUAAGUAAUUCUCUUUAAAUAUAUUUAUAAUGAAAUCAUAACUAACAAAAGUAUUGCAAAUAAAAAUACCUUAAGUACAAUUACUCCCAAGUGAGUUCAAAGUUAUAAGAAAUAUUUUUGUCAAUAUUUCAGAUCACCAAAAGAAACUAUAAAGGAUUGCAAUAUUACGAAAAAAUUAAAAAUGAUUUUAGUUUAAGCUCUUCAUUUGCAAUCUUGCAAUCUCAUGCCCUAAAUGUUCCAAUUCAUCAAUUUCAUUGGUAAAAUUUUAUUAAAAUUAAUGAUUAUUAAAUAAAAUAAAUUUAAAACCUUUUCCAAAACCAUAUUGUCGAUCCGAGAAUGCCAUGAACAACAUUGUUGAGUAUGAGGCUUGUAUCUUGGGAUUAGAGACAGCCCUCGAGCUCGGUAUUAGACAGAUGGAGGUGUUUGGUGACUCCAAUCUGGUGUUGAGACAGAUUCAGGGUGAGUGGAAGACUAGAGAUGGGAAACUUAGACCUUAUCACGCAUAUUUGGAGCUACUGGUCGCGAGAUUCGAGGAUUUGAGAUACACACAUCUGCCUAGAGCGCGGAACCUGUUUGUUGAUGCCUUAGCUACUCUAGCUUCCAUGAUUGACAUUCCUGCUGACGCCACUGUUCGUCCAUUAUUGAUCGAGUCGAGAUCUGCUUCUGCUUACUGUUGUCUGAUCGAUGAUGUAGAGUCAGAUGAUGGUUUGCCAUGGUAUCACGACACAUAUCACUUUUUGAGGCUUGGCGUAUAUCCUAAGGCCACUACGACCAAGGAUAGGAGAGCAUUGAGACAGUUAGCCGCCCGAUUCGUGAUUUGCGGCGAGACACUAUAUAGACGAUCACCUGAUGGGAUGCUGCUAUUGUGUUUGGACCACGCCUCUGUCGAUAGAGUGAUGCGAGAGGUUCAUGCGGGAGUAUGCGGACCACAUAUGGGAGGACAUAUGUUGGCCUGUAAGAUCAUGAGGACCGGCUACUUCUGGUUGACCAUGGAGACGGACUGCUGCCAGUUCGUUCAGAGAUGUCCCGAGUGUCAGAUACAUGGAGAUCUCAUUCACGUGCCGCCCUCCGAGUUGCAUGCACUGACUUCACCAUGGCCAUUUUCAGUGUGGGGUAUCGACAUCAUCGGGAAGAUUUCGCCGAAAUCUUCCAGUGGUCAUGAGUUUAUCCUUGUCGCCAUUGAUUACUUCACCAAGUGGGUGGAGGCCGCUUCGUAUGCGAGAUUGACAUCGUCUGGAGUUGCUAGUUUCAUCAGAUCACACAUUAUUUGUCGCUAUGGAGUCCCUCAUGAGUUGAUUUCGGAUAGAGGGGUACACUUUAGGGCAGAGGUUGACACUUUGGUGCAGCAAUAUAGCAUCCGACAUCAUAGGUCGUCUGCGUACAGGCCGCAAACGAACGGGGCAGUGGAGUUGCCAUUUUGUGGACCCCGCAUUUCGGCUCAUGCGUUUCCCACUCGAUGACGAGCUCAAUUUUUCAAAUAAAAUCGAGCUCGUCAUCGAGUGGGAAACUCAUGAGCCGAAAUGCGGGGUCCACACAUAUCCAUUUAAAACAUUUUCAUAUCAGGGAUCUCUAGUUUUGCCUCAUGCUUCUCUUUAGAAUUUUAUUUUUAUUUUUUCAACAUGUUUACUUAAAGUUCCAAAUCCAAUAAUGGUGAGAAAAUAUUCAAUUCUAAAAACCAUUUCCAUAUUCAUAUUUUCAUAUCUGUUUUAUCCUUUUAAAUAAAUAAUCCUAGGCUUUGGCAUCAAUUAAUUAAUCUAUGUUUUGCCCAAUUACCAAGUUGAUUGCAAAAAUAUGCUACACUCAUAAGUCUAAAAUAUGCUUUUGGUUUUUCAGCUUUCUAUUUCACUCCAAUUUUGCCAUCUCAAGUUUCAAAUAUAUAGGUGAAAGAAAAAAAAAAUGCAUAAUUUAGUGUUAGAUUGGAAAUAUAUUUUUUCAAUAGUGUUAACUUUUAUAUAAAAUAUUAUAACUUUUAAAAAUUUACGUUUAAAAGCUAAUAAUUUUUAAAAACUACUAAAAAAAUUUGAGAUAUUAAAAGGUUUUACUUCUCUAAUUUUAAAAUUUUGAAAAUUAAUUUUUCAAGAUAUAAUUUAAAACUUUGUCUAGAUAGAUUUCCUUUUAAAAAAAAUAAUAAAUAGUAAUAACUUCUAAAUAAAAUAUAAAACAUUUUAGAAGUUUUCAUUGAAAAUCUUAUGAUUUUUAAAAAAACCAUUUAAAAGAAUUGAGAUAUUAAAAUGUUUUACUUUCUCAAAUUUAAAAAUCUUUUAGAGCCUAUUUGGCCAUGCUAAUGCUCAUUUUUAAAAACUGUCUUGACUUGAAAUUUUUUUUUUUUUGUUUUUUAGUGUUUUAUAAAAAUAUGGGUGUUUGACAAGCUGUUUUUGAAAUCAAUUUUUAAAAAUAAAAAAUAAAGAACUUGUUUGGAUAAUUUUUUUAAAAUUUUUCAAAAGCAUUAUAAAUUCAAUUUAUAUAAUAUAAAUUUAAUUUAAUUUAUAUUAUAUAAAUAUGAUGAUUUUAUAUUUAAAAAAAAACCAUUUAAAAGAAUUGAGAUAUUAAAAAGUUUUACUUUCUCAAAUUUAAAAAUCUUUUAGAGCCUAUUUGGCCAUGUUAAUGCUCAUUAUUUAAAACCGUCUUAACUUGAAAAAAAAAAUUGUUUUUUAGUGUUUUAUAAAAAUAUGGGUGUUUAACAAGUUGUUUUUUAAAAAUAAAAAACUUGUUUGGAUAAUUUGUUUUUAUUAUUUUAUUUUUUUCAAAAACAUUAUAUAUUCAAUUUAUAUAAUAUAAAUUUAUUUUAAUUUAAGUCUUACUUAAAUGAAAAUAUUUCUUAAUUACAAAUAAAUUUAAAAAUAAAUAGUUUUUAGGAAAAUAUGAAUAGUAAUGAUACAAUAAAAUUAUUAAUUGUAUUUUUUUUAUAUAAAAAAGAUACUAUUUUAGUCUAUGCUAGAAACAUAAGGAUAUUAAUAUCUUAUUUAUUAUCAUUUUUUAUUAAAAAUGAAUUAUAAUAGUUUAAAAAUAAUAAUUAUUAAUAAUAUUUUAUUUUAAAUAAAUAAUGAAUAAAGUUUUAACAUGUAUAUGAAUCAAUUUUUUCAUUCUAUGAACACAUAUAGAAUGAACUUUCUGAUAUAAUAUACCUAAUUAUGAAUAUAAUAUUCUAAAACCUCCAUCGCCUCAUUUGAGGUUUUGAACUUUCUGAUAAAUUCGAAUCAACAACAAUAGAAUUGCUCUUUCAAUAUCAAAGGCUCCUUUUGGCGUCAAUAAACCGCCAGUUAGUUAUUGAAACAACACGUUCAUACACAUAUCUAAGUCUUAUUGGAAUGGAAUACAAGUUACCUUCAAGUAAGGUUUUUGCUUACACAUUUACACAUUUACACAUUUUCUAUCUCAAACUGUUAGUGAAAGAUACAGGGCAAACCUACAUUCAAAUGAUCUGAGCCUGUCAUGUACAAUCCAAGCUCAAAAGUCAAGCUUAAGUUAUAAUUCACACGAAAGAGCUGGUCAGCGCACCAAGCCCAAGAACAAUGAUAAGACUGCCAUUUACCAACCUGACAUAAGCUUGAUAUCUCACAUGGAGAACUUACAAGGUGGGUAAGCAUUUGUUAAUUGACACCAAUCAAUCCUGAUACAGAAGAUGGACAUCUCACAUGAAGGGCAUAAGGUGAACCCCUAGGAUCUUGUUGAGCAAAUUGGACUACACUCCAAUCAAGAGCUAAGAUCUUACUAUACCAAUUCAGGUUAUCCUGAUCACGUGUUAGUGGAGGAAAUGUUGUUGAUUUCCAUUUACAUAACUUUGAUUUAGUAGGUUUGGUCUAAUUGGGGUGUAAUAUACGUUAUACAACGGGGAAAGGGAGUGCGAUGAGGUAGUAAAAACAGGACACAACUUGUGAAAAAGGGUCCAAAGUGGAACCCCUUUUUAAGGCUUUUAAUCCUCUGCAGCUUUGCUGAAAUACUAUAACCCAGAUUACUGGUACACAAGCGUUACCAAAAACCAUCAUUUCUGGUGGAUUAUUCCUACCCUUCAUUGAGGGAAGUCUAACCCUGCAGACAAAUACAACCUAGAUGGCUGAUUUUCUAGCUUCCAUUAAUGGGGAGAUUUUCUCUCAACAUUCACUGACCAUUCUAAGUGGGUAAAAAUUAGAAGUUAAGAGACAUCCUACAUGAUGAAUUAGUCAUGCAGAACAUAAGUCCAGGGAUAUUAUCAAGUACUUUAGGGUCCUUUAGGUCAUGGAAACUACUCGAGAAAGGAAAAAAGAAAAAAGAAAAAAUUAUGAAGGAACAUGUAUUCUCUUGCUUGGUUUGCCAAGGAAAAUUUUGCUUUCCCUUUUUCAUCCUUAUUUUCUUAUUGUCAUACUUCCCCUCAAACUUUUCAUGAUCUAAACAGAAGUUUGACUUAUUUAAGAAGCUACCUGACAAGUAUUUCCUUUCCACAAUUGUUUAUUCAACCAAUGAGGCAUUUUUUCCAUUACUCAAUUCUCAAUCUAGUUUCUUUUACACUAACCCUCAAGAAACAAAAUAACACAUAAGCGGGGCUUAUUUUUCAAUAUAAAAAUUCUCUACCAAGAUAUCAGACGUCUAUGAAUUGAAAAUUUAGAACAAUAUUUUCCAAAUCACCCGUGGGGAUCCAUGAUAAGAUAAAUUAGUUACAUUCUCAUGCUUCUUUACGAACCUUUUUCAACAGACUGAGCCCAGUUAAUGCUUGAUCUGGCCAAAGCAUCCAUCAGAUCAAUACAUUUCCUAAGCAGAGGAUCAUCCCGAGGCAAAAGAUCACGCAUGUCAUCAGAGCCAAGGAUGACAGUGUUCAUAGCCCUCGCCAGAAGAACUUGCAUUGCAAUUCUUAGCAGAUUCCUUGCCACUUCCAUGUCCUUUCGAUUUAAAGAUUCAAUUGCAGAAAUUACAGUGUGCUCCAUUGUUGCUUCAUCUGGAACAACAACCUCAAACCCCUGCAUACAUAGAAUUUAGAUUGGAAGGAAUCAAUGUAUUUACGGAUGACAGAAAUGAAAACCGUGCUAAAAGGUAUAUAGUGAGUUGAUGUGGUAACUAAAACUAAAACAGGUUGCUUUUUUCUCUCAAUUAAAAGCAUCUUUCAGAACUUCAGAACUCCCAUAGAUUCAUAUGGAACAUCAUUAUAUAUAUAUAUGUAUAUAAGCAUGCACUUCAAGGCAGUGUAUGUGAAACACGAUCAGGAGUGUGAGACUGUAAUGACACACGGAAUUCCAAAUCCUAUCAUUAUAUAAUAAUAUAAUAUAUUAAUUUCAUCAUUAUUUUAUCCAUCAUGUGUAGGUGGGACCCAGCUCUGCCCAAAACUGCAAUCCUAUCACAGUUGGCAAAACAUUUUGAAAUUCACUUUUGAGCUCUGUUGUAAUUUCAGUAAACAGUUACAACUAGAAAUACCAAAAGAAAAUAGAAUACAAGUAAAAUGGUAUUUCUGGGGGUUUUAGACAAGCUGUCAUGAUGAAGACAAGAUGGGGGUUUAGCAAAAUGGAUGCUGAUUUUGUUGUAUCGAAGAUUCAACAUUCUUUUGUUAAAGGCCGUUAAAUUUUGGAUGCAAAUUUGAAAGCCAAUGAAGCCAUAGAUUUUAGACUGAAGAGUUUGAGAGAAGGGGUGAAUCUGUAAGUUGUGUUGAGGCCUCGCGUCCCUGGUGAUCCACGUAGUUGCCAAAUGGAUGGACGCACGAUCUCAACCAAUAUAGAUUCCUGGUUCAGUCGUUCCUGCAAAAGGCGUUCGAACAGGGUGUCCGGACACACCCUCUG
rnacentral:lncRNA from 1 species